GAUGAAGAACGCAGCGAAAUGCGAUAAGUAAUGUGAAUUGCAGAAUUCAGUGAAUCAUCGAAUCUUUGAACGCACAUUGCGCCCGCCAGUAUUCUGGCGGGCAUGCCUGUUCGAGCGUCAUUUCAACCAUCAAGCCCCAGGCUUGUGUUGGGGGCCUGCAGCUGCUGCAGCCCCCUAAAAGCAGUGGCGGACUCGCUGUCAUACCGAGCGCAGUAGUUACAUCUCGCUCUGGGCAUGGCGGCGGGCACCUGCCGUAAAACACUCUUUCUAAGGUUGACCUCGGAUCAGGUAGGAAUACCCGCUGAACUUAAGCAUAUCAAAAAGCGGAGGA
rnacentral:misc_RNA from 1 species